rnacentral:misc_RNA from 1 species
GUAGGUGAACCUGCGGUUGGAUCAUUAGAAAAUUUUGGAGCUUCUGCUUCCAAUCACACUGUGUGCACCGUUUACUGUCUCUGGCGGAUCGAGCUGGUCUAACGACCGGCUCCCCGCCGAAGGACCGACCCUCCCGUUAACUCGGAUGUUGGGAAGGUCCUUAAUUGAACAACACCUUUCUGUAAUAUUUUGUCUGAACUUUCUUCACCUUGAGUGAGAAAUUAUAAACAACUUUUGGCAACGGAUCUCUUGGCUCUC